UACAGAGGUCUCGAGCGUUGUUCGGAUUCAUUGGGCGUAAAGGGUGCGUAGGCGGCGCGGUAAGUCGGGUGUGAAAUCUCGGAGCUUAACUCCGAAACUGCAUUCGAUACUGCCGUGCUUGAGGACUGGAGAGGAGACUGGAAUUUACGGUGUAGCAGUGAAAUGCGUAGAGAUGCGGCGGAACACCGAUGGCGAAGGCAGCCCCCUGGGCUGAGAUUGAC
rnacentral:rRNA from 1 species